rnacentral:rRNA from 1 species
UACAGAGGGGGCGAGCGUUGUUCGGAAUUACUGGGCGUAAAGGGCGCGUAGGCGGCCCGCUAAGUCGAACGUGAAAUCCCCAGGCUUAACCUGGGAACUGCGUCCGAUACUGGCAGGCUUGAAUCCGGGAGAGGGAUGUGGAAUUCCAGGUGUAGCGGUGAAAUGCGUAGAGAUCGGAAAGAACACCAGUGGCGAAGGCGGCGACCUGGGUCCAAACUGACACUGAGGUGCGAAAGCGUGGGGAGCAAACAGG